rnacentral:tRNA from 1 species
GGGCCCGUAGCUCAGCCAGGUCAGAGCGCCAGGCUCAUAACCUGUUGGUCCCCGGUUCAAAUCCGGGCGGGCCCACCA